rnacentral:lncRNA from 1 species
CCUAAACAAGGUAUAAAGCAAAGAUGUGAGAAUUAAGCAUCAGAAAGCCCUAUAUACCUAGACUUAAAACCUAACAACAUCAGGACCUUGGAAACAAAUUACCUAAACUCUAUGAAUCAAAGAAGAAAAUGGAAUGAGCUACUUGUGCCAGAGAACAGCUACAUAAAUGCGUUCUCUUCCUGAUGCGCUUGAAUAAAAGAAAACUACUAUCUUCAAUUCCUCAUCAGAAGACGACUGCUGACUAAUCUGAUGAAGGAAGGAAGUCUGUAGAGGAAAGCUGAUUGAAAAG